rnacentral:rRNA from 1 species
GACGAACGCUGGCGGCGUGCCUAACACAUGCAAGUCGAACGGAAAGGCCCUGCUUUUGUGGGGUGCUCGAGUGGCGAACUGGUGAGUAACACGUGAGUAACCUGUCCUUGACUGUGGGGUGACCUAAUGAAACUGGGGCUAAUCCCGGCUAGGAGCUCCUGCUGCUGGGUGGGGGUGGGAUAGAUUCGGCGGUUGGGGAUGGACUCGCGGCUUAUCAGCUUGGUGGUUGGGUAGUGGAUGAGCAAGGCUUGGACGGGUAGCCUGCCUGAGAGGGUGACCGGCUACACUGGGCCUGAGAUAAGGCACAGACUCCAACGGGAGGCAGCGGAGGAGAAUAGUGCACAAUGGGCUGAAGCCUGAUGCAGCAACGCCGCGUGCGGGAUGACGGCCUUCGGGUUGUAAACCGCUUUCGCCUGUGACGAAGCGUGAGUGACGGUAAUGGGUAAAGAAGCACCGGCUAACUACGUG